ACGAACGCUGGCGGCAGGCUUACCACAUGCAAGUCGAACGAAGGCUUCGGCCUUAGUGGCGCACGGGUGAGUAACACGUGGGAAUAUACCUCUCAGUGGGGGAUAACGUCGGGAAACUGACGCUAAUACCGCAUACGCCCUUCGGGGGAAAGAUUUAUCGCUGAGAGAUUAGCCCGCGUCCGAUUAGCUAGUUGGUAAGGUAAUGGCUUACCAAGGCUACGAUCGGUAGCUGGUCUGAGAGGAUGAUCAGCCACACUGGGACUGAGACACGGCCCAGACUCCUACGGGAGGCAGCAGUGGGGAAUAUUGGACAAUGGGGGAAACCCUGAUCCAGCGAUGCCGCGUGAGUGAUGAAGGCCUUAGGGUUGUAAAGCUCUUUCGCCCGUGAGGAUGAUGACGGGAGCGGGAGAAGAAGCCCCGGCUAACUCCGU
rnacentral:rRNA from 1 species